AUCUGGGAAGAAUUGGUGUAAUCACCAGCGAGAGAAACACCCUGGUUCUUUUGGCCUAGUUCAUAUCAAAUAUGCCAUUGGCAAUAGCUUUGCUACCCGGCUCUCCAACAUUUUUGUUAUCAGCAAAGGCAACAAACCAUGAAUUUCCCUUCCCCGUGGAAAGGGUAUUAACCUCACCAUUGCUGCAGAGAGAGACAAGAGACUGGCAGCCAAACAGUUGGUGAAAUGAGCUUACAUGACAUGAUUAGGAGAGUCUUGUGCUUAAUUAAUUAAAGAUAAAGCAGCAUGGGGAUCGGUAGAGCGUCG